rnacentral:ncRNA from 1 species
AUCGUCUCAAAGGGGUGCUAGAUUUCAAAAAACGAAUAACAGCUGAGAUUAUACCCACAGAACCUGAGCAAGUAAUGUUGCUAAGGGAAUAAAUGACAAAUAAGG